rnacentral:rRNA from 1 species
GUGCUGAAACGCACCCCUGAAGGAGGAUUUAGCAGUAAGCAGGAAAUAGAGCGUCCCGCUGAAACUGGCCCUGAAGCGCGCACACACCGCCCGUCACUCUCCCCAAAACCCCCACCCCCAACAGUUUAACUUAAAACCAAACACCUAUUAAAGGGGAGGCAAGUCGUAACAUGGUAAGUGUACCGGAAGGUGCACUUGGUCAAUC